CCAGGCAGAGGGGCUCCUCACAUCCCAGACGAUGGGCGGCCAGGCCUUGCUGUCUCUAACCCUGAUCUGAUCUCCUGCCUUGAGCAAAUAAAAGAGCCCUGGAAUGUGAAGAGACAUGAGACAGUAGUCAAAUACUCAGUUUGUCUCUUCCAGAAUCAAAGCUGUAAAGCUACAUUCUUCAAAUGGAGCUGCAGGUGCAGUCCAUGACUAAGAUCUACCACGGACUCCUGGACUGGCCUGCUGGCCCAUGCUCUGAUGUUAAUGACAUCGAAGGCACCCCUCCUGAAGAAAUCUCAACCGCACAACCCCUACUAUGCCCCAGUUCAGCAGGAAGCAGUUAGAGCGGUCAUUGGCCCACCUCCCCAACAGCACUUGGGUUUUCCUGUUGAG
rnacentral:lncRNA from 1 species